GGUAAGUGGCCUCUUUUUACUCUCUUCUCCAACCUCCCUCACUAUCCCUCAACCUCUUUCUCCUUUCUAUCUUGGCGCCACACUUCAAUCUCUCCCUUCUCUUAAUUUCAAUUCCUUUCAUUUUCUGGUAGAGACAAAGGAGACACAUUUUAUCCGUGGACCCAAAACUCCGGCGCCAGUCACGGACUCGGGGAGGCAGCCUUCCCUUGGUGUUUAAUAAUUGCGGGGGUGCCUCUCUGAUUAUUCACCCACGACCCCACUGAAAAUCGGACUGUUCAACUCAUCUGGCAGCCACUCCCAGAGCCCCUGGAACUCUGGCCCAAGCCUCUCUGACUGACUCCUUCCCAGAUCUUCUCGGCUUAGCAGCUGAAGACUGACACUGCCCAAUCGCCUUGGAAGCCCCCUAGACCAUCACGGAUGCCGAGCUUCGAGUAACUCUCACAGUGGAGGGAACGCGCAUGAAAAAACCAAACAAACAAAAAAAUUUCUUUUGGUAGCAGAAUAAAAAAACAAAAAAAAGGACUUUUUCUUCUGGACUGAACUAUAUUUAAAUCUCAAAGGAUGGACAUCUCACAACCUUCCUACAGCAAGUACUGUGAGAACUCAAAGGGGGAGAGAAAAAGACGAAAAAUAUCUUCAAAGAGGAGAACAAAUCUGAUCUUUCUCUACGUCUGCUUAGUUGGCGUAACUUUAGGAUGUCCAUAAGUUGUAGCUUUCCUGGGAAAAUUUGAUUUUACACUGGUUAUCCCAACAUAAUAUUAAUGGUAUCCUCUUAGACUCUCAAUAGUGUCCGGUUUGGAUGACAAAUUCUGUGGUCUUUUUAGCCAACUGCUACUGAAGUGGUCAGAUUUAUUGCACAAAAUAUAUUUUUAAAAAUAAGUAGCACAAGAUGAAAUAUGGCCUCAAAUUUCUUGGUUAGUUUCCACUAGAAAGUUUUAAACAUUAAAAAGUACAAAAUUCAUUACAUUUAUUGAAUGAUAAAGUAUAACAUUGUAUGAAGUUGAUGACUAUUAAAACUAUUUGAGUGUUUAA
rnacentral:lncRNA from 1 species